GGCGCGAAGGCCGCAGUCGGAGGCCUGCGGGGACAGCUUCGCAGCGCGGGGAUCCAGACGCCAUUAUUCUGAGCUCAGGAAUGGUGAGCAGCAGCGGAAAGAGGGCCUCUGGAGGCUUGUUGAGAAUUGAAGGCCACAGAGAGAGCAGAGACACCUCAAUAAAGGCGCUGCAGCAGUCGUUUAGAACAACAGGUGACACCCAGAGAAGGAAAGAACCUGCCCAGCGAUGCACAGUUGAAUGGAGAUGAGGUAAAAAUUGCUUUGUUUUACAAUGUUCAAAAUAUGCCAUGCCUGUUCCAGGG
rnacentral:lncRNA from 1 species